rnacentral:rRNA from 1 species
GACGAACGCUGGCGGCGUGCUUAACACAUGCAAGUCGAACGGUGAAGCCCUUCGGGGUGGAUCAGUGGCGAACGGGUGAGUAACACGUGAGCAACCUGCCCCUGGCUCUGGGACAACCACUGGAAACGGUGGCUAAUACCGGAUACGACCCGCCUCGGCAUCGAGUGUGGGUGGAAAGUUUUUCGGCUGGGGAUGGGCUCGCGGCCUAUCAGCUUGUUGGUGAGGUGAAGGCUCACCAAGGCGACGACGGGUAGCCGGCCUGAGAGGGCGACCGGCCACACUGGGACUGAGACACGGCCCAGACUCCUACGGGAGGCAGCAGUGGGGAAUAUUGCACAAUGGGCGAAAGCCUGAUGCAGCGACGCCGCGUGAGGGAUGACGGCCUUCGGGUUGUAAACCUCUUUCAGCUCCGAAGAAGCGAAAGUGACGUUAGGAGCAGAAGAAGCACCGGCUAACUACGUG